rnacentral:rRNA from 1 species
UACAGAGGUCCCAAGCGUUGUUCGGAUUCAUUGGGCGUAAAGGGUGUGUAGGUGGCGCCGUAAGUCGGGUGUGAAAUCUCGGGGCUUAACUCCGAAACUGCAUUCGAUACUGCCGUGCUUGAGGACUGGAGAGGAGACUGGAAUUUACGGUGUAGCGGUGAAAUGCGUAGAUAUCGUAAGGAAGACCAGUGGCGAAGGCGGGUCUCUGGACAGUUCCUGACACUGAGGCACGAAGGCCAGGGGAGCAAAC